GGCCCUUUCCUCCUCGAAAGCAUCAUUGAUCACUCACAACCUCCAUGCACUCUUUACUAUAUCCAGAAUAUCCCACACAAAGAUCAAAGAAUCAAGUUAGGUAGUGAACCAAAACAUGGAUCUAAGUGCACAAGGUACCAUGAUGACCUUAGAUCUAAGGAUCACUUAUACAACUCCUACUAGAGAAUCAUCAGUUGAUAUGUAAAUAAGACUCCAUCUGAUAUUUUUUCGUAGG
rnacentral:lncRNA from 1 species